ACACAUGCAAGUCGAACGAGUGAGAGAGAGCUUGCUUUCUCGAGCGAGUGGCGAACGGGUGAGUAACGCGUGAGGAACCUGCCUCAAAGAGGGGGACAACAGUUGGAAACGACUGCUAAUACCGCAUAAGCCCACGGCUCGGCAUCGAGCAGAGGGAAAAGGAGCAAUCCGCUUUGAGAUGGCCUCGCGUCCGAUUAGCUAGUUGGUGAGGUAACGGCCCACCAAGGCGACGAUCGGUAGCCGGACUGAGAGGUUGAACGGCCACAUUGGGACUGAGACACGGCCCAGACUCCUACGGGAGGCAGCAGUGGGGAAUAUUGCACAAUGGGGGAAACCCUGAUGCAGCGACGCCGCGUGGAGGAAGAAGGUCUUCGGAUUGUAAACUCCUGUUGUUGAGGAAGAUAAUGACGGUACUCAACAAGGAAGUGACGGCUAACUACGUGCCAGCAGCCGCGGUAAAACGUAGGUCACAAGCGUUGUCCGGAAUUACUGGGUGUAAAGGGAGCGCAGGCGGGAAGGCAAGUUGGAAGUGAAAUCCAUGGGCUCAACCCAUGAACUGCUUUCAAAACUGUUUUUCUUGAGUAGUGCAGAGGUAGGCGGAAUUCCCGGUGUAGCGGUGGAAUGCGUAGAUAUCGGGAGGAACACCAGUGGCGAAGGCGGCCUACUGGGCACCAACUGACGCUGAGGCUCG
rnacentral:rRNA from 1 species